UACGUCGGUUGCGAGCGUUGUCCGGAAUUAUUGGGCGUAAAGAGCUCGUAGGCGGUGUGUCGCGUCGGUCGUGAAAACUUGGGGCUUAACCCUGAGCUUGCGGUCGAUACGGGCAUCACUGGAGUUCGGCAGGGGAGACUGGAAUUCCUGGUGUAGCGGUGAAAUGCGCAGAUAUCAGGAGGAACACCGGUGGCGAAGGCGGGUCUCUGGGCCGAUACUGACGCUGAGGAGCGAAAGCGUGGGGAGCGAACAGG
rnacentral:rRNA from 1 species